rnacentral:rRNA from 1 species
CAGCAGCCGCGGUAAUACGAAGGGUGCAAGCGUUACUCGGAAUUACUGGGCGUAAAGCGUGCGUAGGUGGUGGUUUAAGUCCGUUGUGAAAUCCCCGGGCUCAACCUGGGAACUGCAUUGGUGACUGCAACGCUGGAGUGCGGCAGAGGGGGAUGGAAUUCCGCGUGUAGCAGUGAAAUGCGUAGAUAUGCGGAGGAACACCGAUGGCGAAGGCAAUCCCCUGGGCCUGCACUGACGCUCAUGCACGAAAGCGUGGGGAGCAAACAGGAUUAGAUACCCGAGUAGUCCCUGUCUCUUAUAC